GAUGAACGCUGGCGGCGUGCCUAAUACAUGCAAGUCGAGCGAACGGACGAGAAGCUUGCUUCUCUGAUGUUAGCGGCGGACGGGUGAGUAACACGUGGAUAACCUACCUAUAAGACUGGGAUAACUUCGGGAAACCGGAGCUAAUACCGGAUGAUAUUUUGAACCGCAUGGUUCAAAAGUGAAAGACGGUCUUGCUGUCACUUAUAGAUGGAUCCGCGCUGCAUUAGCUAGUUGGUAAGGUAACGGCUUACCAAGGCAACGAUGCAUAGCCGACCUGAUAGGGUGAUCGGCCACACUGGAACUGGGACACGGUCCAGACUCCUACGGGAGGCAGCAGUAGGGAAUCUUCCGCAAUGGGCGAAAGCCUGACGGAGCAACGCCGCGUGAGUGAUGAAGGUCUUCGGAUCGUAAAACUCUGUUAUUAGGGAAGAACAUAUGUGUAAGUAACUGUGCACAUCUUGACGGUACCUAAUCAGAAAGCCACGGCUAACUACGUG
rnacentral:rRNA from 1 species